CACGCACGUAAGCUGUAAGUACCUACGUGGCUAUACGUUUUGCUCGUACAACUGGUAUGGUUAAAUAUCUAGACAUCUGAUAUAUAUAUAUAUAAUAUAUAUAAUAUAUAUUAAAUUAUUUAAACGUGUACGAAAACGCGGAAGAAAUCGCGCUCAUGUGUUGAGGAUAUCAUUUAAAACCGACCUAACCAAACCGGACCGGUCUCUUCGAGAUUUUAAUUCAAUAUAGCAUUUAUAUUAUGUAUUAAACGCUUGAUGUCCGUGAUCUCACGUCACUCAGUGCUCUGUAGUUAGUCGUCGUCGAUCGUGUGAUACUGUACCAAGACGAAGGUGUCUGAACGAUUUAUAUUUUAUAAUAUAGUACAAUAUUGCAGGUGUAAUUGCUAUAUUGUAUUUGGUAAUAUAGUCAUUAUCGUAUUAUUUGGAUUUUCCUGACGUUUUUUUUGCGUCGAACCCGUAUCGUUACACAACGGGUAAACCGAAAAAUUUUACGUUGUUGACGCUGACGAAGGAAUAACCAUAUUAUACAGAAUGACGACCAAAGUCGAUUCAGUUACACAGUUUGUCGACAGAUUCCUUGGAUUGGGUAUGAAAAUUCUGGACGUGAAAGUAAUUUUCAGCGCGCUCAUGGAGACUUUGUUAGCUUUGUCCAGUAGUUGUUUCCCUGCAGGAAUAGAAGCGUACGAUGACGACGACGAAGACGAAGUUAUGCAAACUAAACAAAAUAAGAUUAAACAAAACUGAAAAUUAACUUACAAAACCGGCUGACUAGAAAAGAAAAAUGAAAAACUCUUCGAUUGAAUGAAUAAAAUCGAUUGUUACCUACCCGUCCUGAUUUACUAUUUUUAUUUAUCUAGUUUUAUGUGUAUUUAAGGAAAACUCCUUUUUACAAGUAUAAUAUUAUGACGUACUUUUAAUAAAGUAUUAGUUAUUAUAAA